rnacentral:rRNA from 1 species
CCUGACGCAGCGACGCCGCGUGGGGGAAGAAGGCUCUUGGGUUGUAAACCCCUUUUCUCGGGGAAGAGUAAGGACGGUACCCGAGGAAUAAGGUUCGGCUAACUACGUGCCAGCAGCCGCGGUAACACGUAGGAACCGAGCGUUGUCCGGAUUUACUGGGCGUAAAGGGCGAGUAGGUGGCCCGUUAAGUCUUGUGUGAAAUCUCCCGGCUCAACUGGGAGGGGCAUGAGAUACUGGCAGGCUUGAGGGCAGUAGAGGAAAGUGGAAUUCCCGGAGGAGUGGUGGAAUGCGUAGAUAUCCAAGGGAACGCCGGUGGCGAAAGCGGGGUACUGGGCUGAAUCUGACGCUGAGACACGAAAGCGUGGGGAGCAAACCGGAUUAGAUACCCGGGUAGUCCAUGCCCUAAACGAUGGAUACUAGGUAUUGGGGGUAUCGACCCCCCCUGUGCCGAAGCUAACGCGAUAAGUAUCCCGCCUGGGGAGACGGCCGCAAGGCUGAAACUCAAAGGAAUUGACGGGG